rnacentral:lncRNA from 1 species
GGUGAGUGUUGCUGUGAAAAUGUCGAUGGACAGAGGUUUUCGUGAGGGCAGGGGACCACUCCGGAUUCUGGGGCGGCGAGGCGGGGCGGGAGGAGAGCGGAGGGAGCCGCAGGUGUCACGGCGGAGCCGCAGUGAGUCACAGGAGGCCGAUAACCUGCCGCCUUCUUUCCUCACGGCAGCAGAGAGACCAGGACUCGUCUGGGAGACGUGCCCUCCUUGGAAGCUGGUUUCAGAUGGUGGCUUAGAGUGCUGUCAUCUAUCUAGCACCAUUUGA